rnacentral:misc_RNA from 1 species
CGCACGAUAUGGGCGAAUCAUGAAAACUUUUAAGCUUGUCCAACAUCAAAGGAAGGACAAUGCUGCUGACAUCCAGAUUAGCCUGAAGGAUUUCCCCAAUGUCCGUGCUGGAGAUGUGUUGGAGGUCUAUAACCCUGAGGUUGAAUUUAGUCGGUUGCUGGUGCAGAUCACCAAGCUGCCAGAGGAAGGGCUACAACAGUUGAAAGCGGAGACUGUGAGUAUAGAGACGACGAUAGCAACAGCCUUCCAGCUGAGAGCCUACCAGGAUGUGUACGUCAACAAGAUUGACCCCAAGCAUGUUGCCCUGGACCUGGUGGAGCUCCUGUACAAGGAGCAGUACUACAGCCGCAGCGACAUGUGGCGGAUGAGGAAGAGUCUGGUUGGGAAAUGUGUUUACCUCAACAAGAAAAUAGAAUAUGCAGAGAUGCGAGCCACUGUGAACGAGAUGUGGUCGAAGGGAGACAUGGUGGCUUGUGGCGUCAUCUCCGAGGACACCAGGAUUGUCUUCAGAUCAUCUACAGCCGUGGUACAGAUCUUCAUACAGAUGAGCACGGAGAUGUGGGACUUCGACAUCAAUGGUGAUCUGUACUUCGAGAAGGCGGUCAACGGCUUCCUCACUGAUCUCUUUGCUAAGUGGAAGGAUCAAAACUGUUGCCAUGAUGUUACUAUUGUACUCUUCUCAAGGACAUUCUAUGGAGCCCGGUCCCUUGAUGACUUCCCCACGGAGGUGCAAGAGUGUCUUCAGGUCGACUACCAAGGCCGGAUCUAUGAAGACUUCUACAGGGUUGUGAUCCAGAAUGAACGCUAUGAAGAGUGGACCAACACCCUGAAGCUGCUGCGCAAGUACUUCAACCGGUAUCAGAUGCGAGUGCUGCACUACCAUAAGCAGCGGGGUUUUCGGAUGCCGCCGGCCUGGAACUCGAAGGCAGCUCAGGGCAACUUCCUGGAAACUCUCAACAUGUCCCUGAACUUGUUUGAGAACUACUACCUUGACCGUAACUUUGACCGGACGGGGAAAGUGUCCGUGGUGAUCACGCCAGGGCCAGGGGUGUUUGAGGUGGACCGGGAGCUGACCAACAUCACCAAACAGAGGACUAUUGACUGUGGUGUGGGCAGUGACCUGGUCUGUAUGGGAGAACAACCACUGCAUGCUGCGCCACUCUUCAAGUUCCACAGCAAGAAUGCCAAGAACUGCCUGGAGGUGGGCGACGACUACAACAUCCCUCACUGGAUGAACCACAGUUUCUACACAUCCAAGAACCAAAUCCAGACUCAUUUCAACUCCUCGUUUGUGCCACGGAUCAAACCCCCUCCGGAAGUGCUUGAAUUCCUGGCCAAGGAACCAGAAAAUAAUGAAAUAGCACUGGUGAACACUUCCAAUGAUGCGGACGAUGACAAGUUCCCCUUUGUUGAUUAUGAUGAGUAUGAUGCUCAGGUGUUCAAACUUCCGUCCAGGACAGCACCCAGAGCCGUCUCUGGCCGCAGUUCGAGUUUCUACGGCACCCACGCCCGCAGACGUAACUGCAAGUCUACCACUGAUGCCGGCCAGGGCAUGCCGGGAUCCCGGAUCAGGCACAUCUCCGAUGACUUCAUGGAACACUGUGCAGACAAGGUGGUGAAGAAGUCGUCCUCCUCGGCCGUAGGGAUUCCAUCUAGGUCUCUCAUGGGAGAAGAUCUCUCGCAGUCAGCUGGAUGUUAUCCCAUCUUUGAAAAGACCCUGAGUCGCGAGUCUGUUAACUCCUCCGAGAGCGAGGAGUUCCUGUACACUCGUCCCGUGGUCGGCAGUGCGGGAUCCCCGGUCGGCUUCUCACAUCGGCUGCAGAACUUUCGACCCCAGAGGGCCCUCAUCAACCCCUUUGCACCAUCCAGGAUGCGCUUCAAGAUGACAUCAAACCGCAGACGCUGGGUCCAUGCUUUCCCUACAGACCCCCAGGGUGCAGCGGUGCAGACACAUCACUACCUAGGGUCGGGGCACUCGGACGACACAGAUGACCUCUCUGUGCAGCAGCCAACCCGAGAGGUUAUACAGGGUGCCCAGAUGGCGGUUGAGUCUCGCAAACGAAGAUCGGUGUCUCGACAGGAGAGUCUGGACGAUAUUGGGGAAGAUCACAGCCUGGACGGUCUAGCAGAGCUGAGCAACGUGUCUCCCAGUCACUCGACACUCACCAUGUCAACCCUCCAUCACGUCCUGUCCUCAGCCUCCGCAGAGUUUGGUCGUUGUGGGUCAAGAGGUCAGAUGACGUCACAAGAUGGCUUCUGGCUCUGGGGUCCAACAGGAGAGCAACCUUGGAGCCCAGACAUGACAACAGGGUGGGACUGGCGACCUUUGACACAGGUGGAGCGAGAGCGAGCUGACUCUCAGCUCAUCAAGCCCAUUCUAACCUCUGACCCCAGCAGUCAGACUUUCUGUGCAGGAAUAAGUGUUGACUGGAAGUCGCUAACAAUUCCAGCAUCACUGCCAACGACAACCGACUUCUUCCCCGACCAGCGUAGUCUGCAUUAUGACUAUGUGGUGUCGGACUAUAACCUGCUGCCUGAUGAUGUCAAUGCUGAAAUAGCCAGAGAAAGGAAUCCCCCAUCAGAGGACGAGGCGUUCUACCGCCGCAAGCCACUCAGUACUGUGCAUGUGUUCCGGGAGCUGGUGUACCAGCGACUGGCUCAGGGGUUCCAGUUGAUCAAGAUCUCGAGAUCUAGCUCUCCGAGGGAGAAUACGACACUUGGGUCAAGUCCGCAAUACCAUCAUGCAACAGUUCUAACUCGGGCCCGGCCUCGUGUGGAACAAUCGGAAGAGUAUUACCUCAGUAUUGGCCGCAUCUUCCACAAGUUGAACUUGACGGGCCCGACCAUCACUGUGACCAGAUACAGACCCAGACACAACCAGCCCCAGCUGCACUUCAAGUACCAGUACCGGUUCCAGGCGCCAGACUCCUACUGCUACGACGUGUCGUGGACGGAGUUCAGCAACGAGAAGCUAGAGAACUAUGUGUGGAAUCACCUGGACCACUACAUCUGUACCCGCGGGGAGGGCGACUUCGGACUCGUGGAGUCACUCAAGUACUGGCGAAGUCGCUUUUUCCUGUUGCCCAGCAACAACUCUGCAACCAAGAAAAUCAUAGAGGGACAUCAUAGAUGCGACAUCUAUGAGAAGAGGUCCGGACAGGAGGUAAAGACACUCAUCUCAGGCUUCGUCCGCUACCUGGAGACUAUCAACAAGCUCAAGCGCACCCACCAAGCUCGCAGGUCAAAGCUCCAGCCGGACGGGUCAGCCAGCAGUGGAGAGACCAGCCCCGGCAAGCAGGAGGCAGACAGUCAGAAGGGCAGCACCAAGGAAGACGGUCUGUCUCGAGCCACCUCCGCAGCCAAGUUGAUAGAGGCCUUCACAGAUGCACAAACUGGUUUGGCCUUCCUGCCCAAGCAGCCCGGUCUGGCCAUCAACACCUUCAUCUCGGCGGAGGCAGUGUUGUGGUGCCAGAUGAAUGUGGCUGGCAUUGAGACCACUAAGGAUGCUGUGGACAAACUGCAGGAACUGGUGGAUGAUAAAUUGAUCCUCCAUGCAUCCGGUAACCCCAAACACAAGUUCAUCUUCGGAUUCUAUCUGUACUUCAUCCCGCCUGCUAAAGGGAAGCCUGACAUUCUGAACCUGCCCAACACAUCGUGCCCCUACAACAUGUGCUUCCAGAACGAGUUCUGUGAGGUGACCGUGCUCCAUGUUGAUCAAGAAGCCCCGAAACGGGACACGUUCUACCUCCCGAGUGGCAACAGCCCGGAGCGAGAGUUCCAAGCCCACGUUGACUGGCGGGUCGAGUCUGACCUGAACAAGCAGGGCUGGGGACAACAGCUAGGCAAGUUGAACAUUUGUGCUCAGAAAGCAACACGCAAUCACAAGUACGUCAAUGUGGACGUAGACACCAGCAGUCGGAGCGAGCGGACAGAGUGGGCAACGGCAAGGUACCAUGCCUACUACAGUCCCCACUGUGCCUUCGAACUACAGAUACAGUGGAUGGUGGCGACAGGCGGGCUUCUUGGUGACCUGGUGUACAGCUGGGCUCGUAAGGCGACAUCGUGCGGCUUCCACCUUCUGCCUGUUCCGGUUGAUCCCUUCGCUCUGCCCUACACACAGAACUCUGACCCACUACGAGGACCUAUCUUUGUACCACUCAAUGUCAACAGUCUUCAGGAGAACGGUUUAUUCUCAGAGCAUGAUGAGCAGACUCAGCAGACAAAAACCAUCCAGUUUCAACUGGCCAUCAUUCAGAGGUUCGGAUUUCUUCGAGCUGUCGUUGAGAUGCCCGAGUCAAAAACAGAUCUACACCGAGUUCGAACCCCGGAUGAAUACCGCUAUCAGUUUGUCCACUGCACUGGCGGCAUGUUUAUCCUGGUUCCUGACAUCAAGACAUCCUCUCCCAUAACUAUCGAGGCUCCUUAUUCCUCCAGUUUUGGCAAGACAUCCUCCUCUGACCUCCAUAAGGACUACAUCGCUCGGCAGACAAGCAGUACACUCACCGAUGAGCCUCAGUCUGAGAUUGGCUUUCUGUGGUCAUGGAACUUCAUGUUGUCCAAGAGAUGGCGCUCUGGCAACACGGGAGAUGAACACUUUCAGGACAAGAUGCUUGCAGACUUCCGGGUGUUCUGCUCUAACGCGGACAACAGGUUGACACAAUUCUGGACUAAUUAUGUGGAGGAGUGAAUCUUGACAACAGGUUGACAAUUUCUGGACUGAUUUUUGAGAAGAAAAUGUUGACAAGUUGACAGUUUCUGGACUGAUUAGGAGAGAAUGUUGACAGUUUCUGGUCUGAUUAUCGAGGAGAGAAUGUUGACAAUUUAAGGACUGAUUGUGGAGAAGAGAAUGUUAACAGGUUGACAGUUUCUGGACUGAUUGUGGAGGAGAGAGUGUUGACAAUUUAAGGACUGAUUGUGGAGGUGAGAAUGUUGAGUUAACUAUUUCUGGACUGAUUGUGGAGGUGAGAAUGUUGACAAUUUAAGGACUGAUUGUGGAGGUGAGAAUGUUGACAAUUUCUGGACUGAUUGUGUGGAGAGGUUCAGGGCUCUUAAUCGGGCAGAUUCUUAAAGCUCUUUAUAUUGUAUUUUUGACAUUGUGGUGACUCCAUGUCACAGAUGUCCCCCUAGCACCUUGUGCUUGUCAUAGCAUACAAUUAGUUAAAGAGGUCAUUGGUUGUGACAGUGUGUGACCUGUUUCACCGUGCCCAGCACGGAUGGACUGUAGACCACACUACUGACCACUGUUUGUUUGGAUUUAAUUGUGAUACAGCUGUAAUAUUGCUGACUGUGGCAUUCACUCCAUGUGUUAUUGUUCAAUGAGGCCUUAUAGUUGAUUUUAGUUGGUUUACAAGACUGAUCACCCGAUGAAAAAAAAUUGAAAUUGGAAAGAAAGAAAAAUUACUUUUGGCCAACUGUUUUACAAUUAGGUGAAAUGGAAAAAACUUUGAUGUUAUCAUCGAUGUUCGUGACAAAUACAUACCAAAAAAAUUAUAAUGUAAAAACACAAGCUUCAUUUUGUAAAAAAACCCAAAACACUUGUUUUGUUUUUUUCAUUUCCCAUUAGUAGCAGUACCAAUCUGGAUGUUGAAAUAAAAUUGUUAUAUUUUAUUUUUGACCAUCUGCAUUGAAUUUUGUAAACAAGCUAAUAUAAGGCCUAAGAUUGGUGUUAACUUAUGUCCACAUGGAUGUAAUAAUUAGCAUGCUUAGUUCAACUUGACAGGGGCACGGGUGGCCCAGUCGUCUAAGGUGCCACGAUUCGCUGUGCAGAGUUGCGUCCCUUGGGCACGCCAGAAACCUAUGAUGGUGGGUUUGAAUCCCGGUUCACCCCGAUUAUGUUUCUAGGUUUGUCAGCACCAUACCUGUGCUCGUGGGUUUCACCGAAGUGGUAAACGUCUGAGACCUGCAUCACUUCAGGCUUUCCUCAAACAUUAAGCUGACACGCCGUGAUAUAACUGGAAUACUGUAAGCGGCGUAAAACUCACUCAAUUGUCCAACUUGACAUAAGAACACCCAAGAGGGAACAAACUUCCGUCAAUGGCAUUACAAAUCCUAUGCAGGGAUGUGGAUUAUCCAAAAUAUCAAAAUUGUGAACUCGUCCCAGGACAAUUAAACUGUAAAAAUUCACUUAUGCAAAGAUGUCUACUUGACCCAAAAUAGUGUUUUUAUCACGAAAUCAGUAUGUUACUACUGACGACUUUUGUUUGGACACUGAUCUGCCAUAACUUCUUACAACAUGUUGCUCAGCUGACAACUUUGCACUCCGAUCAACCAACUUGG